GUGUUCUACGCUCAGUACAUCAACUUUGUGAAGCCUGCGUUUGAAGAGUUCUGUCUGCCGACAAAGAAAUACGCAGAUGUUAUCAUUCCCAGAGGAGCUGAUAACACUGUUGCUAUAAAUCUGAUAGUGCAGCACAUUCAGGAUAUUCUGAGUGGAGGUUUGAACAAACGACUCAACAGCUGCUUUAACGGCUCUGGUUCAACCAAGACUCAACCAAACAGGCCUCACUGAGUGCAGCGCCCCCCUGAGGACGAGAGAGGACGGUUCCGUCUGCACGGGUCCAAAGGAAAGCGGGACGAGAAAAAUCGCUCCUGAUUUAAAAAACAAAGACAUGUGAUCACAUGACGGCCUUUCACCGCACAAUAAUCCCAGUGUGUGAUCAGACUGAUUCUCUUCAUCAAUGCCAAACUCUGACGUAUUACAGUAUUGAUUUAGAAUUGACUGAAGAGGAUUAGAGUGUGAAUGUUUGUGGAAAACAACAUACAAAUACAAAAUGUCACAAUUCUGAGAUUAAAUAGAUUUUUUAUCUCAAAAUACUGAGAAAAAACCUGAGAAAUUACUCAGAAUUCUGACUACAUUUUAGAUUCUCCUCGUCCAAACUGUCCCCUCACAAGUCAGAAUGGUAAUUAAAGAUAUAUAACGCUUUAUUUCUCCUAAUCCAAAUUCAAUUCAACAUAUCUUUGAAUCCUUAAAAGCUGGACGAUAUCUGUUAAACAUCUGCCGUCCAGCUAUUACAUGUUAAAAUGGCUUGUCAUAGUAUUAAAGGGUGAAUAUUUGAGAUCUGUCCAUCUGAUGUCCCCCUCAGGUCAUGUGACCAGUCUCCAAAGAAAACAUCCUUUUCUGUCCUUGAAACUGUUUUUUUACUGUUUCUCUGAUUUUAUUUGACUUUCUUAAAGUUCAGGAUUGUUUUAAGUGUGAACAUCUACGGUGUCAAGGACAUGUUCACGUCUUUGUCUCACUGUCAGACACACUUUACAACAGGAAAC